rnacentral:rRNA from 1 species
GACGUAGGGCGCGAGCGUUGUCCGGAUUUAUUGGGCGUAAAGAGCUCGUAGGCGGUCUGUCGCGUCGGUCGUGAAAACUUGGGGCUUAACCCUGAGCUUGCGGUCGAUACGGGCAUGACUGGAGUUCGGCAGGGGAGACUGGAAUUCCUGGUGUAGCGGUGAAAUGCGCAGAUAUCAGGAGGAACACCGGUGGCGAAGGCGGGUCUCUGGGCCGAUACUGACGCUGAGGCGCGAAAGCGUGGGGAGCAAACAGG